rnacentral:rRNA from 1 species
AACGCUGGCGGCNGGCCUAACACAUGCAAGUCGAACGGUAACAUUUCUAGCUUGCUAGAAGAUGACGAGUGGCGGACGGGUGAGUAAUACUUAGGAACAUGCCUUUGUGUGGGGGAUAACUAUUGGAAACGAUAGCUAAUACCGCAUAACGUCUACGGACCAAAGGGGGCUUUCGGGCUCUCGCGCAAAGAGUGGCCUAAGUGAGAUUAGCUAGUUGGUGAGGUAAAGGCUCACCAAGGCGACGAUCUCUAGCUGUUCUGAGAGGAAGAUCAGCCACACUGGAACUGAGACACGGUCCAGACUCCUACGGGAGGCAGCAGUG